rnacentral:rRNA from 1 species
ACGCUGGCGCGCAUGCCUUACACAUGCAAGUCGAACGGCAGCGCGGGCUUCGGCCUGGCGGCGAGUGGCGAACGGGUGAGUAAUACAUCGGAACGUGCCCUGUCGUGGGGGAUAACUAGUCGAAAGAUUAGCUAAUACCGCAUACGACCUGAGGGUGAAAGCGGGGGACCGUAAGGCCUCGCGCGAUAGGAGCGGCCGAUGUCUGAUUAGCUAGUUGGUGGGGUAAAGGCCUACCAAGGCGACGAUCAGUAGCUGGUCUGAGAGGACGAUCAGCCACACUGGGACUGAGACACGGCCCAAACUCCUACGGGAGGCAGCAGUGGGGAAUUUUGGACAAUGGGGGCAACCCUGAUCCAGCAAUGCCGCGUGUGUGAAAAAGGCCUUCGGGUUGUAAAGCACUUUUGUCCGGAAAGAAAUGGCCUGGGUUAAUACCCCGGGUCGAUGACGGUACCGGAAGAAUAAGCACCGGCUAACUACGUGCCAGCAGCCGCGGUAAUACGUAGGGUGCGAGCGUUAAUCGGAAUUACUGGGCGUAAAGCGUGCGCAGGCGGUUUGAUAAGACAGGCGUGAAAUCCCCGAGCUCAACUUGGGAAUGGCGCUUGUGACUGUCAGGCUAGAGUAUGUCAGAGGGGGGUAGAAUUCCACGUGUAGCAGUGAAAUGCGUAGAGAUGUGGAGGAAUACCGAUGGCGAAGGCAGCCCCCUGGGACGUCACUGACGCUCAUGCACGAAAGCGUGGGGAGCAAACAGGAUUAGAUACCCUGGUAGUCCACGCCCUAAACGAUGUCAACUAGUUGUUGGGGAUUCAUUUCUUCAGUAACGUAGCUAACGCGUGAAGUUGACCGCCUGGGGAGUACGGUCGCAAGAUUAAAACUCAAAGGAAUUGACGGGGACCCGCACAAGCGGUGGAUGAUGUGGAUUAAUUCGAUGCACGCGAAAAACUUACUACUCUUGACAUGCCACUAACGAAGCAGAGAUGCAUUAGGUGC